GUGGGGAAUAUUGGACAAUGGGCGAAAGCCUGAUCCAGCCAUGCCGCGUGUGUGAAGAAGGUCUUCGGAUUGUAAAGCACUUUAAGUUGGGAGGAAGGGCAGUAAGUUAAUACCUUGCUGUUUUGACGUUACCGACAGAAUAAGCACCGGCUAACUUCGUGCCAGCAGCCGCGGUAAUACGAAGGGUGCAAGCGUUAAUCGGAAUUACUGGGCGUAAAGCGCGCGUAGGUGGUUUUGUAAGUUGGAGGUGAAAUCCCCGGGCUCAACCUGGGAACUGCCUCCAAAACUGCAUGACUAGAGUACGGUAGAAGGUAGUGGAAUUUCCUGUGUAGCGGUGAAAUGCGUAGAUAUAGGAAGGAACACCAGUGGCGAAGGCGACUACCUGGACUGAUACUGACACUGAGGUGCGAAAGCGUGGGGAGCAAACAGGAUUAGAAACCCGUGUAGUCC
rnacentral:rRNA from 1 species